AGUCGAACGAGUUCUGAUUAUUGAAAGGUGCUUGCAUCUUGAUUUAAUUUUGAACGAGUGGCGGACGGGUGAGUAACACGUGGGUAACCUGCCCUUAAGUGGGGGAUAACAUUUGGAAACAGAUGCUAAUACCGCAUAAAUCCAAGAACCGCAUGGUUCUUGGCUGAAAGAUGGCGUAAGCUAUCGCUUUUGGAUGGACCCGCGGCGUAUUAGCUAGUUGGUGAGGUAACGGCUCACCAAGGCAAUGAUACGUAGCCGAACUGAGAGGUUGAUCGGCCACAUUGGGACUGAGACACGGCCCAAACUCCUACGGGAGGCAGCAGUAGGGAAUCUUCCACAAUGGACGCAAGUCUGAUGGAGCAACGCCGCGUGAGUGAAGAAGGCUUUCGGGUCGUAAAACUCUGUUGUUGGAGAAGAAUGGUCGGCAGAGUAACUGUUGUCGGCGUGACGGUAUCCAACCAGAAAGCCACGGCUAACUACGUGCCAGCAGCCGCGGUAAUACGUAGGUGGCAAGCGUUAUCCGGAUUUAUUGGGCGUAAAGCGAGCGCAGGCGGUUUUUUAAGUCUGAUGUGAAAGCCCUCGGCUUAACCGAGGAAGUGCAUCGGAGACUGGGAAACUUGAGUGCAGAAGAGGACAGUGGAACUCCAUGUGUAGCGGUGAAAUGCGUAGAUAUAUGGAAGAACACCAGUGGCGAAGGCGGCUGUCUGGUCUGUAACUGACGCUGAGGCUCGAAAGCAUGGGUAGCGAACAGGAUUAGAUACCCUGGUAGUCCAUGCCGUAAACGAUGAAUGCUAGGUGUUGGAGGGUUUCCGCCCUUCAGUGCCGCAGCUAACGCAUUAAGCAUUCCGCCUGGGGAGUACGACCGCAAGGUUGAAACUCAGAGGAAUUGACGGGGGCCCGCACAAGCGGUGGAGCAUGUGGUUUAAUUCGAAGCAACGCGAAGAACCUUACCAGGUCUUGACAUCUUUUGAUCACCUGAGAGAUCAGGUUUCCCCUUCGGGGCAAAAUGACAGGUGGUGCAUGGUUGUCGUCAGCUCGUGUCGUGAGAUGUUGGGUUAAGUCCCGCAACGAGCGCAACCCUUAUGACUAGUUGCCAGCAUUUA
rnacentral:rRNA from 1 species